AACCUCCGCAAUGUGAGAAAUCGCGACGGGGGGAUCCCAAGUGCCAUUCUUAACGGGAUGGCUUUUCAUUAGUGUAAAGAGCUUUUGGAAUAAGGGCUGGGCAAGACCGGUGCCAGCCGCCGCGGUAACACCGGCAGCUCUAGUGGUAACAAUUUUUAUUGGGCCUAAAGCGUCCGUAGCCGGUUUAAUAAGUCUCUGGUGAAAUCCUGUAGCUUAACUGUGGGAAUUGCUGGAGAUACUAUUAGACUUGAGACCGGGAGAGGUUAGAGGUACUCCCAGGGUAGAGGUGAAAUUCUGUAAUCCUGGGAGGACCGCCUGUUACGAAGGCGUCUAACUGGAACGGUUCUGACGGUGAGGGACGAAAGUUAGGGGCGCGAACCGAAUUAGAUACCCGGGUAGUCCUAACUGUAAACGAUGCGGACUUGGUGUUGGGGUGGCUUUGAGCUGCUCCAGUGCCGGAGGGAAGCUGUUAAGUCCGCCGCCUGGGAAGUACGGUCGCAAGACUGAAACUUAAAGGAAUU
rnacentral:rRNA from 1 species